rnacentral:lncRNA from 1 species
AUGCCAAUCAGAUAAAUCAAGACAUAACCACAAUCAUAGGUUAACACACACUAAAGGGCAAUGCCAUUAAAGGAGAAGAGGAACUUUGGAAACUGCUGUCUGAAAGGAAAGCAAAGCACUCUUCAUUAACAGCUAGUGGGCUCCUAAUUUCUGCCCAUGAAGGCAUGUUCAUACUGACAGAGCACCCCCUCAAGGGGAAGAACCAUCCGCGCUAAUUCUUGUUGUCCUCUUCUGAGCUAGUGUGCUCAUUGUUCAUACAAACUAGUGUGUCAACAUUAAAACAAAAAGGGAGUUGAAUCAAUAAAUGACUUGGGAGGCUGUCAUACUUGUAACAACUAUGGCGACAGAAGAACACUGGCUGUAGUAUUUGGUAUUAGCAUUGGUGUCUGGAUCUAUAACUAAAAAAGCUUCUUCAUUUCUCCAAACUAAUAGAUAUGACAGAUAUUGCCACACUUAGCUCUACUUAAAUAAAUAUUCUAAACUCAAUCUCAAAUCCACUAAUGGAAUUUCUGUCGCAGUCUCUCCUAUGGUCAAAAAAUAAUUAGAGUAACAGAAUAGUAGUUUUAUACCAGAUAGAUAUUUGAAGAAGAAAUAGUCAUCAUAUAUACUUAAAUAUUCUCAAAAUGUCUCCCUUGCCCUCCCCCUAAUACCAUCAUUUCUUUGUUUCAGGGAAAUGGCAUUUUAAUAAAACACUUACUGUGAUGUACCAUUUACUGGGCAAGGGCAGCUGCCUGGCCAAGGUGAAAGAGCACAGAAGCAAAGACUUAAUGCUUUGAUCUAGAAUCCUGGCUCCACAACUUCUCUGAGUCCCAGUUACCUCAUCUAUCAAGGGCUAAUAAUCCUUCUUUUUGAGGUUGGUGUGAGAAUCAAAUGAAUUAAUCCAUAGAAAAAGCCAGCACACUGCCUAUCCUGGAGCAUGUAUUUUAAUUCCCAUGCUCUUUGCAGCUUUGCCCAUGACCUCCACUGAAGCCUCAAGACCCACAAACCUAGACAUUAAUUUGUAUGCUAAUAAUCUCCUAUGUUUGUGAGAGAGUUUGGAGCUUUCAUAGUCAUCUACCAUUGGUAAGAGAGAGGUUAGCCAGCUUACCUGAGGUCCCACAGCUGG